CGAUAGGCGGCUUUGGGGUCGCCCCAGGAGUCCAGCUGCGAGAGACCAAUGGGAUUUGAAAAUGGCCUUGAUGAUUCAGACGGCCGUGACGUCAGCGGGGUCAAGUUGUCGGCAGGCGGAGCGCGCAUCGUGGAGUAACAGCGCCACCUAGCAGCUGCCUCGGGGGAAGAUUCCCGGAGAGAAAGAGGAAACCCGCGAAACUUGGCUAGUUUGGAGGAGUCACGUAUCACGCGGGAAACCAGGACGCAAGACGCAACAAAAUUCGACCCAGAGAAGUGUUCUUUACAUUUCUAGAGCGAAUGUGCUAGGAGCAUUUUUGAAAGAAGAAAGACCAGUCUAUUUUUGUUGUUUUUUAAUAUAGAGAAGAAAU